rnacentral:rRNA from 1 species
UACGAAGGGGGCUAGCGUUGCUCGGAAUCACUGGGCGUAAAGGGCGCGUAGGCGGAUCUUUAAGUCGGGGGUGAAAGCCUGUGGCUCAACCACAGAAUUGCCUUCGAUACUGGGGAUCUCGAGACCGGAAGAGGUGAGUGGAACUGCGAGUGUAGAGGUGAAAUUCGUAGAUAUUCGCAAGAACACCAGUGGCGAAGGCGGACUCACUGGUCCGGUUCUGACGCUGAGGCGCGAAAGCCAGGGGAGCAAACGGGG